AGGAACAUGUGACUGGAGUGUUUUUCAAAGUGAAUAGCGAAGACAAGGACGAAGUCAUCAAGUAUUUAGACUACCGGGAAAAGGGUGACUACCAAUUGGCUGAGAUGUUAUUCCACCCCGCUGUCGACAAUUGUCGCAAACCGUACAAUGUUCUUGUGUACACGGAUACGAAAGAAAACCCGAAUUACUUAGGGCCUGCCCCUGAGCAGGAAAUCGCAAAACAAAUUGUAUCGUCUGUCGGACCAAGUGGGCCAAAUUUGGAAUAUUUUAACAAACUGGUUGAAACGCAUCGUAUGUCGACGAUCAUCUAAGAAGCAUCAAGAAUUACAUAGACAAAGCAAUUUAAUUGUUCAAAUUUUUUAUUGUGCAAAUUGGAAAAAUUGUGCUGGGUGGGUGAAUUCUAUAUUAUGAUGUAAAUUAAAGUAAAAACAAUGUACAACUUAUGCACCAUUAGAUACAAGAGUAAAUUGAGAUUCUCAACAUUCAUCAAAUUGGGGCGAGGGGGGGGGGGGCUCUUGUCCCACCUUGAAGCCUGAUUUCCAUAUGAUCGUAAUGUUCGUAAAAAUAGAGUCACGAUCUUUCUCAAAGGUCAGUUUAUAAUAGUUUAUACCUGUAAACCAUAUAUAAAUCAUAAGUAUUCUCUAGUUAUAAUCACUCCGCGUAUUUUCAGUUCUGAAAUGUUGUAUUUCGGCUGAUGAGAAAGAUCGUGACUCAAUCUUUGCGACCGUUACGAGUGUGUCACAACGGGCAAGCCGGCUGACUAAAGUUUCGCUGAACCAACUUGUCUGACCUCUCGAUAGCUCAGUUGGUAGAGCAUUGGACUGCUAAACCAAACUUCCCAACAUAAAUAUAUGACAUUCAUUUGAACAGAUUGUCUCUUACCUAAUGAGGUCACAACAGCAUGGCUUCCACAAGUCUCAUUUUGUACACCUCACAUAAUUUUUAUUGCUAUUUCCCUCUAAAAUGUUAUUUGAAUUCAUGUUGAAUUAUGGGAGGGACCCUGGUUUUUACUGUUUUAUUUUAUUUUCGGUAGGAAAAAGCAAAAGGUCCAGAGAAUGAAAUUGCCAAGAUGGAUAAGUUGCUCAGCCUUGUUCGCGAACCUUCGGAGAAAAAAUAAAUAAACUGCCUUGGAGUUAUUUCAUUCAAUUUAUUUAUUUAUUGCAUACAAGAUCUCGAAGUAUCUCGAGUAUUAUGUAUAGGAGGCGGUUUGUUUUAUUGGGAUGGUUUGUUUUCUUUGUUUGUAAAUUGUGACUGGAUUCUGCUGCUCGCCUCACAUCAAUUAUGAUAAUAUAAUAUUGUAAAUAUCUUUGGCAUAUUUUCUUCUACAUAUAUAAAGGCCCAUAUAUAAAUAUGAGUCGUCGAAAAUGUACGUUCUAACUUGUCUUUUCAAACUUUAACAAACAACG